rnacentral:lncRNA from 1 species
ACACUUUUGCUAAAUCUACUAGGUGAAGAUUUAGUAAAAUACAGAGGAGGGGAAAUUCUUAUGUAAAUAUUUGGGUGGCUGUCUGGGAGAAUGAAAAAAAAUUCUUAAAAAACGAAUACUCCCUGUGUUAGCUUGGAGGUUUUGACUGAAUGCCCCAUGGACUGUUGUUGCUCUACAAAGCGCAGGUGCAUAGUCAGUCAACAACGUGGACUCCUCAGCCAUCAGGGAAGACAGCUGUGUGCUAGUCAGACUCACAUCUGGAAGGUGGUACCAACCAUGACCGUGCUGGUGGGAGCUGUCCCCAGCACUUUUAACAGGCUUUAUUUCUGUUUGAGCCUCUGGGUACAUGAGGAUGUGGGAGGAGUCGAAGGAGGGAGUGCCAGGCUUUCCAAGGAUCUUUGUGUGUGGCAUUAGGUAUGCACACCUGGCUGAAUGCAUCUUUGGCCACAAUGACCCCAUCGUGCUCAUGGAGACCUUGCAUGGAUUGCUUUGAAGGCCUGCUUCCCCCAGCCUCUCCCCUUCUCAUCCAUUCCCAUGCAAAUCUCCUGUUUCAGACACUUCUAGGAUUUCCCAUAGCUUUCAAGAUAAAAUCCACAUUUCUUAGCAGGUUUGUGAAGGUUGUUGGUUUUCCAGCUCAAGAUCCCUCCUUUAGGUCCACCCUCCCCAACUUAAGACCACGGAAUUGAGUUGAUCCUAUUUCUUCAUUCAGGUCACACUAUCAUCCUCCUUUUAUGCAUGUGCCCUUUUCUAUCUUCAUUUUACUUCAUGUUCUCCUCCCUCCCCAUUCCCACUCCCAUUUCCCUCCUUGCUCUUAUGAUAGGCCCCUAUUCCAAUGUAUUAAUUUACAACCUUCCAAACCAUCUUAUAUAUUCAAGGCUGCCAUGUUGCAUACCCUCAAGGGGCACCAUUCAUGUUGUAUUCUGGCAUCUUUCCCCAGAGGGCACCAUUUGCAUGGAAAACUGUGUGAAUGGUAACCCUGAGGCUGAGCAAUGUGCCAGCACAGUUCAUAUGGUUGUGUAUGUAUAUGUAUCCUUGACAGUAGACUGAAACUGUCUGUAUGCUUGUGUUUAAUAUAUAUGACUUUAUUGAGCUAUAAAAUUUAUUAUGUUUCUUUCUUUUUCACAUGACAUUAUGUUUGUGCAAGCAUUCUGCAUUGGUAUAUGCAAAUUUAGACCAUUAUUUUUUUACCUGCAUGGUAUUCUGUCUCUUUCUGUAUUUCCUUAGUGAGUGAUAUCUAGGUCGUCACCAAUUCCUUGCUAUCUCAAACAAGGUGUCGAUUAACACAGAUAGAAAUC